AAAACUUAAGUAUAAAAGCAGUAUUAAGUAAAGAGAGAUUAAUCAACUUACAAAUUUUAUUUAUGAAAACAUUGAAAACAGUACAAGAGAUGGUAGUACAGGAGAGAUCGGGCAAGAGAAUUUCUUAUAUGUGGAAAUUUCUGAAUGCCGUCUCUAAUGAUUUACAAUGCCUUAUAUAGGCAAUAAGAGAGUAUGAUCAUCAUACAAGUGGACGGCUAAGAUGUUGCCGACAUAAAUAAGUGAUUACUUUUCUAAAAGUAAAAGAAUCAAGUCUGCUUUUUGAAAAGCAGUAGAAUAGUUGUUGGCUUUUGAAAAAGCUGUUGCAUAGCAUUUGGCCUUUCAGAAAAGGCGUCUGUAGGUUUUUCUGUCUUUUCUCUUUGGAAAAGCAUUAUUCUGGAGAGCAAGUGGGUCCGAUAGAUUCCCACUAGGAACAGUAGAAUGCCCUUUCAAAAAUAAUUCCGGUUCUUUGAACCUCUAUUUUCGAAGGGGUCUGUUCUUAGUUCUUAGUAGGGGUCCAUGUAGGCCUGGGCAAUUCCUUUAGGAGCUAGCAUAUCUCCAUUAUUGUCUCCGCUACUAGAGGAAGAGGCUUCUUCGAGAAGCUGUAGGACGUCAUCUGUAACCUCUUUACUUUCAAGGUCAUUUAGAGCUUUCUUUAAUCUUUCUUUAAGCGCCUGUUUAUCCUUGGAGACGCCGGACGAAGAUACUGGUGAUUUAAGUUUUACAGGAGUUCUU
rnacentral:lncRNA from 1 species